rnacentral:rRNA from 1 species
AGCACAGGUGCUGCAUGGCCGUCGUCAGCUCGUGCCGUGAGGUGUUCGGGUUAAGUCCCGCAACGAGCGCAACCCCCGCCGUUAGUUGCCUAGCGGUUCGGCCGGGCACUCUAACGGGACUGCCCGCGAAAGCGGGAGGAAGGAGGGGACGACGUCUGGUCAGCAUGGCCCUUACGGGCCUGGGCGACACACGUGCUACAAUGCCCACUACAAAGCGAUGCCACCCGGCAACGGGGAGCUAAUCGCAAAAAGGUGGGCCCAGUUCGGAUUGGGGUCUGCAACCCGACCCCAUGAAGCCGGAAUCGCUAGUAAUCGCGGAUCAGCCAUGCCGCGGUGAAUACGUUCCCGGGCCUU